CCUACGGGGGGCAGCAGUGGGGAAUAUUGGACAAUGGGGGGAACCCUGAUCCAGCGACGCCGCGUGAAGGAAGAAGGCUUUCGGGUUGUAAACUUCUUUUCUCAGGGACGAAGCAAGUGACGGUACCUGAGGAAUAAGCCACGGCUAACUACGUGCCAGCAGCCGCGGUAAUACGUAGGUGGCAAGCGUUAUCCGGAUUUACUGGGUGUAAAGGGCGUGUAGGCGGGAAAGCAAGUCAGAUGUGAAAACCAUGGGCUCAACCUGUGGCCUGCAUUUGAAACUGUUAUUCUAGAGUAUGGGAGAGG
rnacentral:rRNA from 1 species